ACGACCUUACUUGAACAGGAUCUGUUCUAUAGGCUAGUGGUACCACUGUAUCCUUAAGGAGACAGAAAACCAAGUCUGGUUGAUUGAUGAGGCAUAGCUAUUGGACCAGAGCCUGAAUAAUAGGCCCCACAGCCCCUCGGGUCAUGGUGCCGUAGAUGAUCGUUCUCAGCCCCAAGGUGCGUUGAGAUGAUCUAAUGGCUGUCUGACAGACU
rnacentral:snoRNA from 1 species